GGGGGGGGGGGGGGGGGGGGGGAGGGGGGGGAGGUCGGGGGGGGGGGCGCCGUUGGGGGUCCUCGAGUGGCGCACGGGGGAGUACGACGUGAGUAACCUGCCCUUGACUGGGGGAUAACGUCAGGAAACUGGGGCUAAUACAGGAGAGGGCUCGUUGCGGCAUUGUGGGGGGUGGAAAGCUUCGGCGGUUUUGGAGGGACUCGCGGCUUAUCAGCUGGUUGGUGGGGUAGUGGCUUACCAAGGCUUUGACGGUUAGCCGGCCUGAGCGGGCGACCGGCCACCUUGGGACUGAGAUACGGCCCAGCCUCCUACGGGAGGCAGCAGUGGGGAAUAUUGCACAAUGGGCGGAAGCCUGAUGCAGCAACGCCGCGUGCGGGAGGACGGCCUUCGGGUUGUAAACCGCUUUCAGCAGGGGCGAAGCUUGUGGUGACGGUACCUGCAGAAGAAGCACCGGCUAACUACGUG
rnacentral:rRNA from 1 species